rnacentral:rRNA from 1 species
CCUACGGGUGGCAGCAGUAGGGAAUCUGUCACAAUGGGCGAAAGCCUGAUGGAGCAACGACGCGUGCAGGAUGAAGGCCUUCGGGUUGUAAACUGCUUUUAUAAGCGAGAAAUAUGAUGGUAACUUAUGAAUAAGGAUCGGCUAACUACGUGCCAGCAGCCGCGGUAAUACGUAGGGGGCAAGCGUUAUCCGGAAUUACUGGGUGUAAAGGGAGCGUAGACGGUGAUGCAAGUCUGGAGUGAAAGGCGGGGGCCCAACCCCCGGACUGCUCUGGAAACUGUGUAACUUGAGUGCAGGAGAGGUAAGCGGAAUUCCUAGUGUAGCGGUGAAAUGCGUAGAUAUUAGGAGGAACACCAGUGGCGAAGGCGGCUUACUGGACUGUAACUGACGUUGAGGCUCGAAAGCGUGGGGAGCAAACAGGAUUAGAUACCCUUGUAGUC